ACGUUUAAAUUAUAUUAACCUUUGCUUGUUGAUUUCAGACGUUUUGAGCUCGUUGACCCAGUUAACGUGUUGGCUCGUCGCAGUUUAUUUUUUGAAGAUCCAGGGUCUGCACGGAGUGGGAAAAUACCAUUAGUGAAAGAACUCAACACAGCAAAUUACCAAAAAAACGGCGUGUUACACCAUUGGCGCAUAUUCUUAAACGCUCCGGCCUGGCAGGGUCGCAGUGCGUACUUGGAGCUGUCAGACACCACGGAGGUGCUGAGAUGGCUUCUUUGUGUGAAAAAACAACGGGGUCUGCUACUCUACAAAGUGAAGAGGUAGGCGGCUAAAAUAUUUUUUCUGAUCGUGGAUUUGUUUUAUCGGUGCUUAGUGUAUGUCGUUUUAAUACUUGGUCUUCUCUGCACCCUGUGACAGCGGCGGGGGUGUGAGUUCAGCUGGGGUACCAGAUGUUGAAGAACUGCCAGGUGCUAGCGAUGAUACCACGCUACAAAUGAAUAAAGAGGAUGUGGACGGGUCAAUCUUCAGCCUACCGGCACAAGUGAAUGUCUCGUGUCUAUGCUUGUGUGUUCGCCCAAAUGUUAAUAAAGCUGAUGCCUAUGUCCCUAAUGAGCCCUAUGUUAUGCCCCAGAUUGUGAAAGCAGUAGUUUAUUGCAUCUUCAAACACUGUUUAAAGGGGGUCCUGGUUGAUGACUGCCCGGCCUGUUUGAUUGACCAUCCUGGGCAGCAGGGUCACACAUGCCUGUCUGGCGGCUACA
rnacentral:lncRNA from 1 species